rnacentral:rRNA from 1 species
UACGAAGGGUGCAAGCGUUACUCGGAAUUACUGGGCGUAAAGCGUGCGUAGGUGGUUUUUUAAGUCCGUUGUGAAAGCCCUGGGCUCAACCUGGGAAUGGCAGUGGAUACUGGAAAGCUAGAGUGCGGUAGAGGGUAGUGGAAUUCCCGGUGUAGCAGUGAAAUGCGUAGAGAUCGGGAGGAACACCAGUGGCGAAGGCGGCUACCUGGACCAGCACUGACACUGAGGCACGAAAGCGUGGGGAGCAGACAGG